UGGGUUUGACAUGGAUCGGGAGUGCUCAGAGAUGGGUGUGCCUCUUUUGGGGUCGGUUCACAGGUGGUGCAUGGCUGUCGUCAGCUCGUGUCGUGAGAUGUUGGGUUAAGUCCCGCAACGAGCGCAACCCUUGUUCACUGUUGCCAGCACGUUAUGGUGGGGACUCAGUGGAGACCGCCGGGGUCAACUCGGAGGAAGGUGGGGAUGACGUCAAGUCAUCAUGCCCCUUAUCG
rnacentral:rRNA from 1 species